rnacentral:rRNA from 1 species
AUACGAAGGGUGCAAGCGUUACUCGGAAUUACUGGGCGUAAAGCGUGCGUAGGUGGUUGUUUAAGUCUGUCGUGAAAGCCCUGGGCUCAACCUGGGAAUGGCGAUGGAAACUGGGCGACUAGAGUGUGGCAGAGGGUAGUGGAAUUCCUGGUGUAGCAGUGAAAUGCGUAGAGAUCAGGAGGAACAUCCGUGGCGAAGGCGACUGCCUGGGCCAACACUGACACUGAGGCACGAAAGCGUGGGGAGCAAACAGGAUUAGAUACCCUGGUAGUCCACGCCCUAAACGAUGCGAACUGGAUGUUGGGUGCAAUUUGGCACGCAGUAUCGAAGCUAACGCGUUAAGUUCGCCACCUGGGGAGUACGGUCGCAAGACUGAAACUCAAAUGAAUUGACGGGG